CCUACGGGCGGCAGCAGUGAGGAAUAUUGGUCAAUGGCCGGAAGGCUGAUCCAGCCAUGCCGCGUGAAGGUCAGUGCCCUAUGGGCGUUAAACUUCUUUUGUGCGGGAGCAAUAAUGGUCAGUUGUGGCCAGACGAGAGUACCGUACGAAUAAGCAUCGGCUAACUCCGUGCCAGCAGCCGCGGUCAUUCUGGGGAGGCAAGCGUUAUCCGGAUUUCUUGGGUUUAAAGGGUGCGUAGGCUGUGAGGUAAGUCAGCGGUGAAAUGCCCUCGCUCAACGGGGUGGAGUGCCAUUGAUACUGCCUUGCUGGAGUGCGGAUGACGUGGGAGGAAGGUGUGGUGUAGCGGUGAAAUGCAUAGAUAUCACACAGAACACCGAUUGCGAAGGCAUCUCACGGAUCCGCGAUUGACGCUGAGGCACGAAAGCGUGGGUAUCAAACAGGAUUAGAUACCCUUGUAGUC
rnacentral:rRNA from 1 species